GCUCCGGCUUCCCUCCAGGCGGCAGCGGAAGGUGGGAGCGACGACUGCAAAACGGCAGCGAUGGGGUGGGUAGGCAGGCCGCUUUCAGCGCGCUUCUAACAAGGUGGAGAGAGGCGCUUCACUUCCCUACCGCCCUUACCGCCGCUCCGUCUUGUCUCCCACCGACUCACAGGGAGGCUUGCUGCUCCUCCGCGGCCGUUACAGAGAGCGGGGCUUCUGCGGCCGCUACCGUUUCCCUGGGGCUAGGUUGCUUCGCAGAAGGCUCUGGCCCUGAGUCCGAGGGGGACUGCGGGGUCCAGGGGCGAUGAAUGCUCCCGCAACCUCCGGAGCUUGUGCGCGUACUUCAGGGACCGGCACCACGUCACCGUCACCUCCUGAGUAGUGAGUUCCCCUCUGAUGAAACCACUGAGGACUUGCUGAGCUCCUGGAGCUAUAUGAGUAGAGGAAAGAGAAUUUGCAAGAGAUGAUAGACUAACAGAGGCCAGGACAGCAAGAAAGUGGUCUUCAUGCCCAUCAUUUAGUGUGUCAAGAAUAACGGAGAUUCCCAUGGAUGGUAUGAACACCAGGGAAAGUAGUCUGAAAAUUCAAAAGAGAAGCAAUUUAAAGGACUUCCAUUUACUUCUUUCCCCUCUAAUCUGCACAAAAGGUUAAAUGUAGCAGUGCAGCAGUUCUGGCCAUCAAAAUAUGAUUAUUGUACUUUAAAAGCAGCCAUGAGAACUCUGCUCUUUGAUAGACUUCAACUUGCAACAACUAAGGAAUAAUCCAGUUCCAGAGGAGAUUAGGAGUUGGGUGAGAGGAUAGACUCUAAUCUUAGAGAAAUAAGUAGUUUUUAUGGAACAGGUGGUGUUUGGUUAUGUGGAUAGGUUUUUUGGAAUACUACUCAGCCAUAAAACGGAACAAAAUAAUGGAAUUCCCAGCAACCUGGAUGGAGUCGGAGACCAUUAUUCUAAGUGAAGUAACUCAGUGAGAACAAAUAUCGUAUGUUCUCACUUAUAAGUGGGAGCUCUUAAAAGUGGGAGCUAAGCUAUGAGGACACAAAGGAACUUAGUUAUUACCAGGAACAGAUGACCAGUUGCAAGAACUGUCACUAUUUUAACAUUCUCCAUCAGCUGUGGCCAUGUUGGAUUUCUGGCACCUGAGCAUUCACAUCCAUCUGUUUAUAGGGCAUUAUGCCCACUCAUGAGGUUUAUUCCAGUUUCAAAAAGUCAUGUGUAAACCAAGAUUGGAAAUAUAUAUUCCUUGAGAAAUAGAGACACAGACACACAAGGGAGAGUGCCAUAUGAAAAUGGAGGCAGAAUGGAGUGAUGCAUCUACAAGCCAAGGAACACCAAAAAUUGCCAGCAACUACUAGAAGCUAGAAGAGGCAAGAAAGGACUUUCUAGAGCCUUUGGAAAGCAUGAUUCUGCCACAUCUUGAUUUUGGACUUCCAGCCUCUAGAACUGUGAGAGAGUAAGUUUCCAUUGUUUUAAACCACCCAAUUUGUAUUAAUUUGUUAUAGAAGCCCUGGGAAACAAAUAAACUACUUUAGAUCAGUUAGGAAGGCUUCUUGAACUAUAUGACAUUUAAACAGAGACAUAAAUGAUGAGACUGUCCCAGCCAAGUUAAAAAUAUCACUGGGAAUCAAACUCACUGGUGUUAUUCCAGCUCAGUGGUAAAUGUUCUACUGGUAUUUUAAAUAAUUCUAAAAUAAAGUCAUUAUUUUUCUUUGCAC
ensembl:lncRNA PRANCR progenitor renewal associated non-coding RNA